UACGGAGGAUCCAAGCGUUAUCCGGAUUCACUGGGUUUAAAGGGUGCGUAGGCGGCCAACUAAGUCGGACGUGAAAUCCCCAGGCUCAACCUGGGAACUGCGUCCGAUACUGGAUGGCUUGAAUCCGGGAGAGGGAUGCAGAAUUCCAGGUGUAGCGGUGAAAUGCGUAGAUAUCUGGAGGAAUACCGGUGACGAAGGCGGCAUCCUGGACCGGCAUUGACGCUGAGGAGCGAAAGCCAGGGGAGCAAACGGG
rnacentral:rRNA from 1 species